CACUCCUGCGGGAGGCAGCAGUGGGGAAUAUUGGACCAUGGGCGCAAGCCUGAUCCAGCCAUGCCGCGUGAGUGAUGAAGGCCCUAGGGUUGUAAAGCUCUUUCACCGGUGAAGAUAAUGACGGUAACCGGAGAAGAAGCCCCGGCUAACUUCGUGCCAGCAGCCGCGGUAAUACGAAGGGGGCUAGCGUUGUUCGGAUUUACUGGGCGUAAAGCGCACGUAGGCGGACUAUUAAGUCAGGGGUGAAAUCCCGGGGCUCAACCCCGGAACUGCCUUUGAUACUGGUAGUCUUGAGUUCAAGAGAGGUGAGUGGAAUUCCGAGUGUAGAGGUGAAAUUCGUAGAUAUUCGGAGGAACACCAGUGGCGAAGGCGGCUCACUGGCUCGAUACUGACGCUGAGGUGCGAAAGCGUGGGGAGCAAACAGGAUUAGAAACCCCAGUAGUCCCAUGAU
rnacentral:rRNA from 1 species